rnacentral:rRNA from 1 species
CCUACGGGUGGCAGCAGUGAGGAAUAUUGGUCAAUGGGCGGAAGCCUGAACCAGCAAAGUCGCGUGCAGGAUGACGGCUCUACGGGUUGUAAACUGCUUUUAUACGGGAAUAACGCGCCUUACGUGUAGGGCUUUGCAUGUACCGUAUGAAUCAAGACCGGCUAAUUCCGUGCCAGCAGCCGCGGUAAUACGGAAGGUCCGGGCGUUAUCCGGAUUUAUUGGGUUGAAAGGGGGCGUAGGCCGGAUGUCAAGUGUGUUGUGAAAUGUCCGGGCUCAACCCGGGCCUUGCAGCGCGAACUGGCGUGCUGGAGUCCGCGGAAAGCAGGCGGAAGUCGUCGUGUAGCGGUGAAAUGCUUAGAUAUGACGAAGAACCCCGAUUGCGAAGGCAGCUUGCUGCAGCGGAACUGACGCUGAUGCUCGAAAGCGUGGGUAUCGAACAGGAUUAGAUACCCGGGUAGUC